rnacentral:rRNA from 1 species
UACAUGGGGUGCAAACGUUGCUCGGAAUUAUUGGGCGUAAAGCGCGCGUAGGCGGUUACUUAAGUCGGAUGUGAAAGCCCUCGGCUUAACUGAGGAAGUGCACCCGAAACUGAGUAGCUAGAGUACGAAAGAGGGUCGCGGAAUUCCCGGUGUAGAGGUGAAAUUCGUAGAUAUCCGGAGGAACACCGGGUCGAGCGAAGGCGGCUUCCUGGACCGAUUACUGACGCUGAGGCGCGAAAGCUAGGGGAGCAA